rnacentral:rRNA from 1 species
CGAAUAGACUACCCCGGUAGUCCACGCCCUAAACGAUGUCAACUGGUUGUCGGGGAAGCAAUUCCUUGGUAACGAAGCUAACGCGUGAAGCUGACCGCCUGGGGAGUACGGCCGCAAGGUUAAAACUCAAAGGAAUUGACGGGGACCCGCACAAGCGGUGGAUUAUGUGGAUUAAUUCGAUGCAACGCGAAAAACCUUACCUACCCUUGACAUGUACGGAACUUGGCAGAGAUGCCUUGGUGCCCGAAAGGGAGCCGUAACACAGGUGCUGCAUGGCUGUCGUCAGCUCGUGUCGUGAGAUGUUGGGUUAAGUCCCGCAACGAGCGCAACCCUUGUCAUUAGUUGCUACAUUCAGUUGGGCACUCUAAUGAGACUGCCGGUGACAAACCGGAGAAAGGUGGGGAUGACGUCAAGUCCUCAUGGCCCUUAUGGGUAGGGCUUCACACGUAAUACAAUGGCCGGUACAGAGGGCUGCCAACCCGCGAGGGGGAGCUAAUCCCAGAAAGCCGGUCGUAGUCCGGAUUGUUCUCUGCAACUCGAGAGCA